AUCUACAAACAUUAUAAAAUAUCUUAUAGCUCAAACAUUUGCAACUCAAUCUAAUAGAUGGUUGUUAGUUGUAUUCACUGAUCAGAUUUACAGAGUUACCCAUCAAGUAACCAGAACCAAGUUGACCAACAUAACAUCCAUAUACAUAAGGCAUAAGCUAUCUAUUGUACAGACCGGUGGUUCAACUAUGCUCUUGACUGAAGCCCACAAGGCUUGCCUGAGAAUAAACUAAUACUAGUCUUAUUUGUUCCAUGUUGCCAAAUCAUUAACAAUGAUCUCAAAUCUUCAAAGUUUUUGGUGAAUCCAUGUAUGGGCUAACAGCAACAACUAAACAGGAUACAGAUCCGAUGAACGCAAAGAAAUUGACGUUUAGAUGUAAGCUCAAAUAUAGCUACUCAAGGUUAGGACAUAAGGAAUGAAUGCUUCCUAAUUCAAGAUAUCCACUUACCACGAAAUACUGUGAGCAAACUGGGCACUCAUGUGGCUUGCCUUUCUCCAGCCAAAACCAGACAACAUCAUGCUCAUCCUC
rnacentral:lncRNA from 1 species